CCCACCUCUUUCCCCUCUCUAUAUGAACCCUUUCAUCAGCUUCAAAAUGUUUCAAGAAAAUUCACACAUAUCAAUGGUUCAUUAUAAUGACUUUGCAAGUUCACAGAAUAAUCAAUCAUUGAUGAGCGUGAUUUUUUUAGCAUUUGGAAGCAUGAGGAAACUUGUAACAGAAAAAUAGAGAAGAUGAAGCUGUUUUUUAGCCUCUUGUUCUUGUCAUUUUGGUGCAGAUGGCAAAUCAAAUGAUGUCUCUUCACAAAACAUUGAAGAUACAUAAUGCGCUCUGGCAUGUAAAUACUUGUUUCACCGCAACCCCCACAAAAGGACCAGCCUGGUGAGGAGGGAAAGCAUCACCAAUAUGGAUGAUACAAUCCAACUGUUAUCUUUGGUGUGUUUUUGGAUGGACUAAUCUGAAGAUGCUGGCUAGCUUGCACUGCCAUCAUAUAGUCUAGAAGCAAGGGCAAGGAUUAUAGGGAUAAUAAAGGCAAUUCACCAUCCGGAGGAAAUGCCAACUAAUAUUUUUUGGUACUAUUUCUGUUACCGAGAUUCAUCAAACACCGAAGGAGGUUAGUUUUUACCUGUGCAACAAUGGCGGCCAUCGUGGUCUUGUUGGAGCCUCCCUU